ACCCGGAGGAAAAGAAAUCAAACGAGAUGCCCACAGUAGCGGCGAGCGAAGAGGGCAGAGCCCAAACCUGUAAGCUACGGCUUAUGGGGGUUGAGGACUGACGUAAUUAAGGCCAGGCUUAGCUGAACUACCUGGGAAGGUAGGCGAUAGAAGGUAAGAGCCCUGUAAGCGAAAGGCAGAGCCUUAAGGUCAGUAUCCAGAGUACCACGGAGCACGAGGAAUUCUGUGGGAAGCAGGGGGGACCACCCUCCAAGGCUAAAGACUAACUGGCGACCGAUAGCGCAUAGUACCGUGAGGGAAAGGUGAAAAGAACCCCGGGAGGGGAGUGAAAUAGUACCUGAAACCGUAUGUCUACAAGCAGUCGGAGCGAAAGCGACGGCGUGCCUAUUGAAGAAUGAACCAACGAGUUAUCUGCACUAGCGAGGUUAAGUGGAAGACACGGAGCCGUAGCGAAAGCGAGUCUGAAAAGGGCGGCGAGUUAGUGUAGGUAGACCCGAAACCGCAGUGAUCUACCCAUGUCCAGGUUGAAGCGCAGGUAAAAAUGCGUGGAGGACCGAACCGGUGAGCGUUGAAAAGCUUUCGGAUGAGAUGUGGGUAGGGGUGAAAUUCCAAUCGAACGCGGAGAUAGCUGGUUCUCCCCGAAAUAGCUUUAGGGCUAGCCUCAGGUAGUAAGUAUAGGCGGUAGAGCACUGAUCGGGCUAGGGGCCAUAAAGGUUACCGAACCCUGUCAAACUCCGAAUGGAUAUACUGCAGAGCCUGGGAGUCAGACUACGAGUGAUAAGAUCCGUGGUCAAAAGGGAAACAGCCCAGACCACCGGCUAAGGUCCCAAAUGCCGUACUAAGUGGAAAAGGAUGUGGGGAUUCAUAAACAACCAGGAUGUUGGCUCAGAAGCAGCCACCAUUUAAAGAGUGCGUAAUAGCUCACUGGUCGAGAGUCCCUGCGCCGAAAAUUUCCGGGGCUAAAGUACGGAACCGAAGCCGUGGCUGUGUACUUAGGUGCACGGGGUAGGGGAGCGUUGCCACAGGGGUGAAGCUGGUCUGGAAGGACUGGUGGACUUGUGGGAAGUGAGAAUGUUGGUAUGAGUAGCGAAAAGAAAGGUGAGAAUCCUUUCCACCGAAAGCAUAAGGAUUCCUGAGCAACGAUCGUCGUCUCAGGGUAAGUCGGGACCUAAUCCGAGGCAAAGAGCGUAGGAGAUGGACAACAGGUUGAUAUUCCUGUACCGGCAGCAAUUGUUUGAGCGAAGGAGUGACACAGAAGGGCAGGCAGGCGCGAGACUGGAUUGUCGCGUGCAAGCGUGUAGGGUAGUGUACAGGCAAAUCCGUACACUGAGAGCCUGAGGCGUUACGCGGAGCGAGCAGAGAUGCGAGCGAAGCUGCUGAUCCCACACUGUCGAGAAAAGCUUCUAGUGAGAGAGCUGCCGCCCGUACCGUAAACCGACACAGGUAUGCGGGGAGAGAAUCCUAAGGUGCGCGGGAGAACCCUCGUUAAGGAACUCGGCAAAAUGUACCCGUAACUUCGGGAUAAGGGUAGCCGUCUUGGUGAAGGAGCUUGCCUCUGGAGCUAAAGGCGGUCGCAGAGAAGAGGCCCAAGCGACUGUUUACCACAAACACAGGUGCCUGCUAAAGCGAAAGCUGACGUAUAGGUGCUGACACCUGCCCAGUGCUGGAAGGUUAAGGAAGGAUGUCCGGGCAACCAAAGCAUUCGACCGAAGCCCCAGUGAACGGCGGCCGUAACUAUAACGGUCCUAAGGUAGCGAAAUUCCUUGUCGGGUAAGUUCCGACCCGCACGAAAGGUGUAACGAUUUGGGCACUGUCUCAACGAGGGACCCGGUGAAAUUGAAAUACCUGUGAAGAUGCAGGUUACCCGCGACUGGACAGAAAGACCCCAUGGAGCUUUACUGUAACCUGACAUUGGGUUUUGUUGUAUUACGUACAGGAUAGGUGGGAGGCUUAGAAGGCUGGACGCUAGUCUGGCUGGAGCCGGCGUUGGGAUACCACCCUUGAUACAACGGAAUUCUAACCGAGAGAGUAACGAAAUCCGGGACAGUGUCAGGCGGGCAGUUUGACUGGGGCGGUCGCCUC
rnacentral:rRNA from 1 species